rnacentral:tRNA from 1 species
GACUGCGUAGCUCAGUUGGAAGAGCAUUGGGCUAGUAUUCCAAAGGUCGUAGGUUCGACUCCUACCGUGGCCG